rnacentral:rRNA from 1 species
UUCGCAAUGCCCGAAAGGGUGACGAAGCGACGCCGCGUGUGGGAAGAAGGCCUUCGGGUUGUAAACCACUGUCGGGAGUUAAGAAAUGCAAGGGUGCUAAUAGUAUCCUUGCUUGACUAAGGCUCCGGAGGAAGCCACGGCUAACUCUGUGCCAGCAGCCGCGGUAAUACAGAGGCGGCAAGCGUUGUUCGGAAUUAUUGGGCGUAAAGAGCACGUAGGCGGCUAUGUAAGUCGGUUGUGAAAGCCUUCCGCUCAACGGAAGAACAGCAUCCGAUACUGCAUGGCUUGAGUGCGGGAGGGGAGAGUGGAACUUCUGGUGGAGCGGUGAAAUGCGUAGAUAUCAGAAGGAACGCCGGCGGCGAAAGCGGCUCUCUGGCCCAUAACUGACGCUGAGUGUGCGAAAGCUAGGGGAGCAAACAGGAUUAGAUACCCCGGUAGUCCUAGCCGUAAACGAUGGGCACUAAGUAGAGGGGUUUU